GACGAACCGUGCGAACGUUAUUCGGAAUUACUGGGCGUAAAGGGCUCGUAGGCGGCCAACUAAGUCAGACGUGAAAUCCCUCGGCUUAACCGGGGAACUGCGUCUGAUACUGGAUGGCUAGAGGUUGGGAGAGGGAUGCGGAAUUCCAGGUGUAGCGGUGAAAUGCGUAGAUAUCUGGAGGAACACCGGUGGCGAAGGCGGCAUCCUGGACCAAUUCUGACGCUGAGGAGCGAAAGCCAGGGGAGCAAACAGG
rnacentral:rRNA from 1 species